UACGAAGGGGGCUAGCGUUGUUCGGAAUCACUGGGCGUAAAGCGCACGCAGGCGGAUCGAUAAGUCGGGGGUGAAAGCCCGGGGCUCAACCUCGGAAUUGCCUUCGAUACUGUCGGUCUCGAGUCCGGGAGAGGUGAGUGGAAUUCCUAGUGUAGAGGUGAAAUUCGUAGAUAUUAGGAAGAACACCAGUGGCGAAGGCGGCUCACUGGCCCGGUUCUGACGCUGAGGCACGAAAGCGUGGGGAGCAAACAGG
rnacentral:rRNA from 1 species